UACGAAGGGGCUGAGCGUUGUUCGGAAUUACUGGGCGUAAAGGCGCGCGCAGGCGGUUCUCCAAGUCAGUGGUGAAAGCCCGGAGCUCAACUCCGGAACUGCCAUUGAAACUGUUGAACUUGAGGACGAGAGAGGUGAGUGGAAUUCCCAGUGUAGAGGUGAAAAUUCGUAGAUAUUGGGAAGAACACCAGUGGCGAAGGCGGCUCACUGGCUCGUUUCUGACGCUCAGGCGCGAUAGCGUGGGGGAUCAAACAGG
rnacentral:rRNA from 1 species